UAAGUACUCCCUCCGUCCGGAAAUACUUGUCAUCAAAAUGGAUAAAAGGGAUGUAUCUAGAUGUAUUUUAGUUCUAGAUACAUCUCUUUUUAUCCAUUUUGAUGACAAGUAUUUCCAGACGGAGGGAGUACCUU
rnacentral:pre_miRNA from 1 species